GAUGCUAUGAUGUGAUAAAAGCACGAAGAGUGUAAGAAGAGCAGUGGACAAUUACAAAUUCUGAAAAGGGUUUGUUCUUGCCGUGAGCUUUCCUAAUUAAACGACUUCUCCUUCCACUGAGCAUA
rfam:Brassica rapa chromosome A3, whole genome shotgun sequence.